rnacentral:rRNA from 1 species
AGUGAACGCUGGCGGUAGGCCUAACACAUGCAAGUCGAACGGCAGCACAGUAAGAGCUUGCUCUUACGGGUGGCGAGUGGCGGACGAGUGAGGAAUACAUCGGAAUCUACUUUUUCGUGGGGGAUAACGUAGGGAAACUUACGUUAAUACCGCAUACGACCUACGGGUGAAAGCAGGGGAUCUUCGGACCUUGCGCGAUUGAAUGAGCCGAUGUCGGAUUAGCUAGUUGGCGGGGUAAAGGCCCACCAAGGCGACGAUCCGUAGCUGGUCUGAGAGGAUGAUCAGCCACACUGGAACUGAGACACGGUCCAGACUCCUACGGGAGGCAGCAGUGGGGAAUAUUGGACAAUGGGCGCAAGCCUGAUCCAGCCAUACCGCGUGGGUGAAGAAGGCCUUCGGGUUGUAAAGCCCUUUUGUUGGGAAAGAAAAGCAGCAGGUUAAUACCCCGCUGUUCUGACGGUACCCAAAGAAUAAGCACCGGCUAACUUCGUG